rnacentral:misc_RNA from 2 species
GGAAGGAUCAUUAAUGAAUUGUAAUCGAGGCUGAUGCUGGCAGUUGCAUGUGCUCGCCCCGAACAAUCAUUGUCCCAAACACCUGUGCACCUUUCUGAGAGAAAAAUGGGGUUUCUUGAAUUCCCCUUCUUCCCUCGCAAAACACGCUGCCUGUAAUGUUGAACGUGUUUGUGCCAUCAUGGCCUUUAACUUAAUACAACUUUUGACAACGGAUCUCUUGGCUCUCGCAUCGAUGAAGAACGCAGCGAAAUGCGAUAAGUAAUGUGAAUUGCAGAAUUCAGUGAAUCAUCGAAUCUUUGAACGCACCUUGCGCUCCCUGGUAUUCCGGGGAGCACGCCUGUUCGAGUGUCGUGAAAUUAUCAAGCCCAGGAUGCUUUGUUGUGUCUUGGCCUUGGUUUAUUGGGCUUUGCCGUGCCCUUCAUUGGAACGGCUGGCCUUAAAAGCAUUAGCUGACUCUCAUGUGGGAUUGGUUCUACUUGGCGUGAUAAUGACCUGACCGCUGAGGACAUUCUUUGGGAUGGCCAAUUCCCAUUCGAGUUGCUUCUAAUCUGGUUCUGCAGGUUCUCCUGAGAAAUCUGCUCCACUAUCAAUUUUGGCCUCGAAUCAGGUGGGACUACCCGCUGAACUUAAGCAUAUCAAUAAGCGGAGGAAAAGAAACUAACAAGGAUUCCCCUAGUAACGGCGAGUGAAGCGGGAAAAGCUCAAAUUUAAAAUCUGACGGUCUUUGACUGUCCGAAUUGUAAUCUAGAGAAGUGUUUUCCGCGCUGGACUGUGUACAAGUUUCCUGGAUACGGAACAUCAUAGAGGGUGAGAAUCCCGUCCUUGACACAGACUCCCAGUGCUCUGUGAUGCGCUCUCGACGAGUCGAGUUGUUUGGGAUUGCAGCUCAAAAUGGGAGGUAAAUUCCUUCUAAAGCUAAAUAUUGGCGAGAGACCGAUAGCGAACAAGUACCGUGAGGGAAAGAUGAAAAGCACUUUGGAAAGAGAGUUAAACAGUACGUGAAAUUGUCAAAAGGGAAACGCUUGAAGUCAGUCAUGUCUGCUUGGAUUCAGCCUCGCUUCGGCAUGGUGCAUUUCCUUGCAGACAGGCCAGCGUCCAUGUUGUUUGUUGGAAAAGGGGUGAAGGAAUGUGGCUCCCUCGGGAGUGUUAUAGCCUUUGCUCGCAUGCAAGAAUCAAUAUGGAGUGGUACAGCAUGCUUCGGUGGUGCUUGUGCUGGCAUAAUGGCUUUAAACGACCCGUCUUGAAACACGGACCAAGGAGUCUAACAUGUCUGCGAGUGUUUGGGUGGCAAACCCGAGCGCGCAAUGAAAGUGAUAACUGGGAAACCCUCUUUGGGGGGAGGCACCGGUGCCCCGAGCUGACCUUCUGUGACGCAUCGGAGGUAGAGCAUAUAUGUUGGGACCCGAAAGAUGGUGAACUAUGCCUGAAUAGGGCGAAGCCAGAGGAAACUCUGGUGGAGGCUCGUAGCGAUUCUGACGUGCAAAUCGAUCGUCAAAUUUGGGUAUAGGGGCGAAAGACUAAUCGAACCAUCUAGUAGCUGGUUCCUGC